rnacentral:rRNA from 1 species
GAUGAACGCUGGCGGCGUGCCUAAUACAUGCAAGUCGAGCGAACAGAUAAGGAGCUUGCUCCUUUGACGUUAGCGGCGGACGGGUGAGUAACACGUGGGUAACCUACCUAUAAGACUGGGAUAACUUCGGGAAACCGGAGCUAAUCCCGGAUAACAUUUGGAACCGCAUGGUUCUAAAGUGAAAGAUGGUUUUGCUAUCACUUAUAGAUGGACCCGCGCCGUAUUAGCUAGUUGGUAAGGUAACGGCUUACCAGGGCAACGAUACGUAGCCGACCUGAGAGGGGGGUAGGCGACAUGAGAGGUGAGACGGGGUCAAGACUCCUAAGGGAGGCCGCAGUAGGGAAUGGGCGGCAGUAGUGGAAAGCCUGACGGAGUGACGGGGCGUGAGAGAUGACGGGGCUGGGUGCGUAAAACUGUGUUAUGAGGGAAGAACAGCUUUGUAAGUAAAUGAGGCGGGCGUGACGGUAACUAAUAAGAAAGCACCGGCUAACUACGUG